GCAACGGCUUUUAAUCCUGUAGUGAUCUGUCUGGCAACAGCGUUGGUAAUGUGCGGGAUUCUGAUUUCUGCUCAAGCUGUUUUACUCUGUAAAAGCAAAAACUGUCAACAAUACAGAGAGAGAAUUCAGCAUGGUGCUGUGAUAAACACUGAGAAGACGAACACUCAGGACCAUGAUGCUGUGGAGCUGAAUUACGCUGCCUUACAUAUUAAUGAACGGAAAACUAAAAGAGCGAGAGAAAAUCGAGGUCGAUCUCAAGACAGUGUAUACUCUGAAGUGAAAUAUUCCACCAUCACUCAGUGAAAUAGUCUUUAAUAUUAUUCUGUUUCUGUAAUUGUUAGGUUGUUUGAUCUGCUUUAAUGUUUCUGUUCAUGAGCAGACUGUAGCAAAUCAUCUGAUUUUUUUUUUUUAAACCUUAUUGAUAUUAUUUAUUUUUUAAAACUUUAUUAAUAUUAAAUACAGACAGGUUGCUCUGUUGUGCUGUGGGAGGGAUUUAUUUAUUUUUCUGCCAUAGUUUGGCCCCACCCAUUUCCUUACAGAAAAACAUCAUUGCAAAUCAAUACAAUAAGUUCUUCCUCCUGAUCACCUUUGUCCUAUGUUGAAACAUUUGUGUCCUGAUGGGUGUGGUCUUUUCCUGGAUAAUUCCGCCCCCAUCCACAGGGUGUGAAGGCCCACUGAAUAGUUUGAGGAGGAAAAUUAUCUAAAUCAUAUGUUGUGGCCUUCACACUCACCACAUCUCAACCUGAACACCUAUGGGAGAUUUUAGAGUGACGUAUUAGACAGUGCUCUCCACCACCAUCAUCAUCAUCAUCAUCAUCAUCACAACACCAUCUGAGGGAAAAUCUUCAUCACUCCAGAUCGGUUCUGGAAGCUUGUGGUGCCUCAACACCUUACCAA